rnacentral:lncRNA from 1 species
CUUCUACCUGGGGGCUUCAGUGCAUCUGGCUUUAUCUCUGGGGUGCUUCCAUACAAAGGGGACAGAAGAGACGAUGGAAGGCCUCAGUACUGCAGGAGGGGAGACGGAUGUCAUCUACAAUCACACAAUACAUGGGAGGUCACAGGUCUACAACAUCCAGAGCAGCCACAUUGCAAGUGCUCAGUAGCCACAUGUGGCUGGCACAUGUGGCCCAUGGCAACUGUGCUGGACAUGAACGCCAGGGUGACGUAACAAUUCAAACCAUGAAAAGGUAACAGCCCUUCGCGCGUCUCAACACGUGGUGACACAGCUAAUAACCUGUGAUGCAUACAUGGGAACAAAUGCAUAGAAAAACUUGUCAAUGACACGGCAAAGUAAAACCCAAAUGAAGCAAGGUGAAAGAAUGGGCUGCAGCGCAGGCAAAACUGCACCACGUUACAGACUGCUCGCCUGGGAUGGAACGGUGGGGAGGUGCGCAGACGGAUGGAUAAGCGCCUGGCAAACUGGAUUUCUUUUCCUAGACUGCUAAUGCUACUAACAGUUCCCUCCUCACAGGGUCGCUAUAAUGAGGUAACAUACAGCACUUAGAAGACGGCCUGACCCAGAAUAACACUAAUGUUCACAUGGCUGCGACUCUCAGACCAAAAUCAAUAGCCGGUAUCUACUGAAACUGCAGCAAGGCGAAACCACGG